UUUUAAAGAAGUGUUAUAAGGAAGGGGUUUUACAAUUUGAACUAAUCCUUUACCGAAACUCUGUUCUCCCACAAUAACUGCUCUGUCCAGAUCCUGAAGAGCGCCGGAAACUACCUCUGAAGCACUUGCACUUCCUCCGUUUACUAAAACUACAACAGGUUUGUUAAAAAAGAUGGGUUCUUUUGUAGAAAAUGUUUGAUUAUACUCGGCUAUUCUCCCUCGGUUUUCAACUACCAUUAAACCGGGUUCUACAAAUUUAUCUAUAAUAGAAACAGCUUCCUGAAGAAUCCCUCCGGGAUUGU
rnacentral:ncRNA from 1 species